AGAGUUUGAUCAUGGCUCAGAACGAACGCUGGCGGCAGGCCUCAUACAUGCAAGUCGCACGAUUAAAGCUCCCUUCGGGGAGUGUAUAAAGUGGCAAACGGGUGAGUAACAGGUGGAUAAUCUGCCCCUUGGCGGGGGAUAACGGCUGGAAACGAUCGCUAAUACCGCAUGUGAUUGCAAGACCGUCGGGACAAGCAAGGAAAGGCGCUUCACGGCGUCGCCAAGGGAUGAGUCCGCCCCCCAUUAGUUAGUUGGUAAGGUAACGGCUUACCAAGACACCGAUGGGUAGCCGAGCUGAGAGGUUGAUCGGCCACACUGGGACUGAGAUACGGCCCAGACACCUACGGGUGGCAGCAGUAGGGAAUAUUGCGCAAUGGACGAAAGUCUGACGCAGCCAUGCCGCGUGAGUGAUGAAGGCCUUCGGGUCGUAAAGCUCUUUUCUGAGGGAAGAACAUCCAGUGCAGGAAAUGGCACUGGCUUGACGGUACCUCAGGAAUAAGGAGCGGCUAACUCCGUGCCAGCAGCCGCGGUAAUACGGAGGCUCCAAGCGUUGUUCGGAAUUACUGGGCGUAAAGGGAGCGCAGGCGGUUUGGUCAGUUUAAAGUGAAAGCCCGAGGCUUAACCUCGGAAGUGCUUUGGAUACUGCCAAACUUGAGUACGUCAGAGGCGAGUGGAAUUUCAGGGGAAGCGGUGAAAUGCGUAGAUAUCUGAAGGAACAUCGGUGGCGAAAGCGGCUCGCUAGGACGAAACUGACGCUGAGGCUCGAAACCGUGGGGAGCGAACGGGAUUAGAUCCCCCGUUAGUCCACGCCGUAAACGUUGUGCACUAGGUGUAAGGGGUAUCGACCCCUCUUGUGCCGCAGCUAACGCAUUAAGUGCACCGCCUGGGGAGUACGAUCGCAAGAUUGAAACUCAAAGGAAUUGACGGGGGCCCGCACAAGCGGUGGAGCAUGUGGUUUAAUUCGAGGCAACGCGAAGAACCUUACCCAGACUUGACAUCCCGGGACCACCGUGGAAACACGGUUUCCUCUUCGGAGGCCCGGUGACAGGUGUUGCAUGGCUGUCGUCAGCUCGUGUCGUGAGAUGUUGGGUUAAGUCCCGCAACGAGCGCAACCCUUGUCCUUAGUUACCAGCACAUAAUGGUGGGCACUCUAGGGAGACUGCCGGUGAUAAACCGGAGGAAGGUGGGGACGACGUCAAGUCAUCAUGGCCCUUAUGUCCAGGGCUACACACGUGCUACAAUGGCCGGCACAAUGCGCUGCUAACUCGCGAGAGUGUGCCAAUCGCAAAAAGCCGGUCUCAGUUCGGAUUGGAGUCUGCAACUCGACUCCAUGAAGUAGGAAUCGCUAGUAAUCGCGUAUCAGCUACGACGCGGUGAAUACGUUCCCGGGCCUUGUACACACCGCCCGUCACAUGACCCGAGUCGGGUGCACCCGAAGUCACUGACCCAACCUGCAAAGGAGGGAGGUGCCGAAGGUGUGCUUGGUAAGGGGGAUGAAGUCGUAACAAGGUA
rnacentral:rRNA from 1 species